GCGCCAUACAAAAGAAAGAAGUCAGUCUUCCCUUGACAAAGAUGGAAGAAGCCCUUGAGUUUAACAACACAUGUGCAGUUAAGGCGCUGCCGGCUGCUUUGUGGCAUCUAACCACUGCUGAAC